CAGCAGCCGCGGGAAUACGGAGGGUGCAAGCGUUAAUCGGAAUUACUGGGCGUAAAGCGCGCGCAGGCGGUCUGACAAGUCAGAUGUGAAAUCCCCGGGCUUAACCUGGGAACUGCAUUUGAAACUGUCAGGCUGGAGUCUUGUAGAGGGGGGUAGAAUUCCAGGUGUAGCGGUGAAAUGCGUAGAGAUCUGGAGGAAUACCGGUGGCGAAGGCGGCCCCCUGGACGAAGACUGACGCUCAGGUGCGAAAGCGUGGGGAGCAAACAGGAUUAGAUACCCCGGUAGUCCCUGUCUCUUAUAC
rnacentral:rRNA from 1 species